rfam:Schistosoma rodhaini strain Burundi genome assembly, scaffold: SROB_scaffold0020004
UAACUCUGGUGUCUCCUCAUCGCGGAUAAAUCUUUCGCAUUUUACUAAAGAUUUCCGUAGGAAGGCAAAACACAAUGAGUCUUAUCUCAUCCUUUCCAACUCAGUCUUCGCACGGAGU